AGUGAACGCUGGCGGUAGGCCUAACACAUGCAGGUCGAACGGCAGCACAGUAAGAGCUUGCUCUUACGGGUGGCGAGUGGCGGACGGGUGAGGAAUACAUCGGAAUCUACUUUUUCGUGGGGGAUAACGAAGGGAAACUUACGCUAAUACCGCAUACGACCUACGGGUGAAAGCAGGGGAGUUUCGGCCCUUGGGCGUUGAAUUGAGCCGAGGUCGGAUUAGCUAGUUGGCGGGGUAAAGGCCCACCAAGGCGACGAUCCGUAGCUGGUCUGAGAGGAUGAUCAGCCACACUGGAACUGAGACACGGUCCAGACUCCUACGGGAGGCAGCAGUGGGGAAUAUUGGACAAUGGGCGCAAGCCUGAUCCAGCCAUACCGCGUGGGUGAAGAAGGCCUUCGGGUUGUAAAGCCCUUUUGUUGGGAAAGAAAAGCAGCAGGUUAAUACCCCGCUGUUCUGACGGUACCCAAAGAAUAAGCACCGGCUAACUUCGUG
rnacentral:rRNA from 1 species